AUGUUUGCGGGUCUUUGUCAAUCUCUCCCAGUAGGAGAACGAACAUCAUGUCCCUGUGCUAGACUAUUACAGAGAAACAUGUCAACACAACUUCAGAGUUUGAACACAGCUUUACCGGCAAACGCUGAUGUUGAGGCAGCAGAGCCUAAGAGGAGAUCUGAGAGAUUGGUAAAUAAGGAGAAGGCAGCACCUAAGCCCAAGAAGGCUAAAGAGGUGAAAAAGACCGAGCCUGAGAAGGAGGUGCCCGCAGAGAAUGGAGAAGCCAAAGCUGAGGAAGAGGCACCAGAAGAACCUGAACAGAAAGAGGAGGAAGAGGCGGCAGAAUAACAUCUCUCAAACCACAUCUUUUAUCAGUGCUCCCUGUACCUCUUUUUCUUGUACAAUUCAGGGGUAUAUUUUUAUCGACUAUUUUCUAAAUGCAGGUUUUUUAGUAGUUUGAUUGUAGAAACACAUUUUUUUAUGAAAUAAAAAAUACAAUUUGAGAUGGGGAUUUCAUUGCAUCCCAUGUUUUUACAUCUCUGGAACAA
rnacentral:lncRNA from 13 species